rnacentral:rRNA from 1 species
CGAACGGGUGAGUAAUACAUCGGAACGUGCCCAGUCUGGGGGAUAACUACUCGAAAGAGUAGCUAAUACCGCAUACGAUCUGAGGAUGAAANCGGGGGACCUUCGGGCCUCGCGCGAUUGGAGCGGCCGAUGGCAGAUUAGGUAGUUGGUGGGAUAAAAGCUUACCAAGCCGACGAUCUGUAGCUGGUCUGAGAGGACGACCAGCCACACUGGGACUGAGACACGGCCCAGACUCCUACGGGAGGCAGCAGCU